rfam:Epulopiscium sp. SCG-B11WGA-EpuloA1 SCGB11WGA_39, whole genome shotgun sequence.
AAGAACUAAUAAUCUGAACAAUCGAAUGACAGGGUAACGCCUUGAAAGGUUGUCCAUAAUACUCCGAAUGGCGUGAAUGGAGGUAAAACAAGAAGCGUCAUAAGCUCGGUAAAGUCGGCUGAGAGCGUAUCCAAGUGCUAAAUAUAUUUUUAGUAACGGAAAAGUGAACUGGAGGCAGUCAAGUACGUGAUAGGUCGGUGGUCUAAGAC